rnacentral:rRNA from 1 species
AUUGAACGCUGGCGGCGUGCCUAAUACAUGCAAGUAGGACGCAGUUGCGAACGGGUGAGUAACGCGUAGGUAACUACCUAUUAGAGGGGGAUAACUAUUGGAAACGAUAGCUAAUACCGCAUACUAGUAGAUGGACCUGCGUUGUAUUAGCUAGUAGGUAGGGUAAUGGCCUACCUAGGCAACGAGACAUAGCCGACCUGGGAGGGUGAUCGGUCACAAUGGGAAUGAGACACCAGUCAGACUCCUACGGGAGGCAGCAGUAGGGAAUCUGCGGCAAUGGGGGGAAACCUGACACGGCAACGCGGCGAGAGUGAAGAAGGUGUUCGGAGCGAAAAGCUUUGUUGUUGAGGAAGCGGUACUUAACCAAAAAGGAACGGCUAACUACGUGCCAGCAGCCGCGGUAAUAC